AGUGUGUCUAAUGAUGCACUUCCACUAACUAUUUUGGUGUCUAUGGUAUCCUCAGAAGUAGGAAAUCAUGGAACAAGCCUAGGACAGUGGGAGAGGAGCUUAAAAAUUGGAUUAUUCUUCCAAAUCCAGGAUUAGUUCGAGGUAUGGAAUUCUUGUAUUCUAGUCCCAGUUUUCUGGCCGUACAGCAAAUACAGCAAAUGACAGUGCACCACUGCAGACAUCAACACAAGGUCUGCUUAGGACAUUCCCUACAUAAUGCAAUGAAAACUAGGAAAUGUAGUAGAAUCUAGUAGAAGUCAUUAACAAGUAUU